AUUGGCGCCAAGAUGGCGAUGGAGAUGAGGCUUCCAGUGGCUCGCAAGCCUCUUAGCGAGAGACUGGGCCGCGACACCAAGAAACAUCUAGUGGUGCCGGGGGAUACAAUCACUACGGACACGGGAUUCAUGCGGGGCCAUGGAACGUAUAUGGGAGAAGAGAAGCUCAUUGCAUCUGUUGCUGGCUCUGUGGAGAGAGUGAACAAGUUGAUCUGUGUGAAAGCUUUGAAAACCAGAGGAGAAGAUCUGCAGAAGAUGAGCUUGCAAUGAGAGGUUUCUUACAGGAAGGGGACCUUAUCAGUGUAUCCUGCGCUUUGCACUCCAGCCUCUUGAUGCUUUUCUAUGGGACUGGGAAAUGGGCCUUCCAUUGUAUGUCUCUGAUGGAAGAACCGUGUCAUCCUUGCAGGGAUCCGAGUCUUAGACCAAGUGUCGGGCUCUGCUGCAUCCUUUCUCAGUCUCCUUAAUUCAGGUGGACUCCCCAGCUCUUGUUUGAACCUGCUGCUAAGUCAUUUCUUUGGAUCUUCUAACUUAUGGUGGCCUGUGCUUUAGACUAGGCUUUUGUUAAUGAUGUUAACUUUUAGCGCAGGGAGUGGAAAAGGUGUUGUUCACGUCAAGAUAUUAAUGAGAGGCCGAGUGUGGUGGCUCAUGCCUGUAAUCCCAGCGCUUUGGAAGGCCAAGGAGGGAGGAUUGCUUGAGCCU
rnacentral:sRNA from 1 species